rnacentral:rRNA from 1 species
UACGGGGGGGGCAAGCGUUGUUCGGAAUUACUGGGCGUAAAGGGCUCGUAGGCGGCCAACUAAGUCAGACGUGAAAUCCCUCGGCUUAACCGGGGAACUGCGUCUGAUACUGGAUGGCUUGAGUUUGGGAGAGGGAUGCGGAAUUCCAGGUGUAGCGGUGAAAUGCGUAGAUAUCUGGAGGGACACCGGUGGCGAAGGCGGCAUCCUGGACCAACACUGACGCUGAGUGAGCGAAAGCCAGGGGAGCAAACGGG